UACAGAGGGUGCGAGCGUUGUUCGGAAUUACUGGGCGUAAAGCGCGCGCAGGCGGCUCUUUAAGUCUCGUGGUCAAAUGCCGGGGCUCAACCCCGAGCGUGCCGGGGAUACUGGAGGGCUGGAGACAGGUAGAGGCAAGCGGAAUUCCGGGUGUAGCGGUGGAAUGCGUAGAGAUCCGGAAGAACACCGGUGGCGAAGGCGGCCUGCUGGGCAGUUGCUGACACUGAGGCGCGACAGCGUGGGGAGCAAACAGG
rnacentral:rRNA from 1 species